GAUGAACGCUGGCGGCGUGCCUAAUACAUGCAAGUCGAGCGAACAGACGAGGAGCUUGCUCCUCUGACGUUAGCGGCGGACGGGUGAGUAACACGUGGAUAACCUACCUAUAAGACUGGGAUAACUUCGGGAAACCGGAGCUAAUACCGGAUAAUAUAUUGAACCGCAUGGUUCAAUAGUGAAAGACGGUUUUGCUGUCACUUAUAGAUUGAUCCGCGCCGCAUUAGCUAGUUGGUAAGGUAACGGCUUACCAAGGCGACGAUGCGUAGCCGACCUGAGAGCGUGAUCGGCCACACUGGAAGUGAGAAACGGUCCAGACUCCUACGGGAGGAAGCAGUAGGGAAUCUUCCGCAAUGGGCGAAAGCCUGACGGAGCAACGCCGCGUGAGUGAUGAAGGUCUUCGGAUCGUAAAACUCUGUUAUUAGGGAAGAACAAAUGUGUAAGUAACUAUGCACGUCUUGACGGUACCUAAUCAGAAAGCCACGGCUAACUACGUG
rnacentral:rRNA from 1 species